rnacentral:rRNA from 1 species
CCUACGGGGGGCAGCAGUGGGGAAUUUUGGACAAUGGGGGCAACCCUGAUCCAGCCAUGCCGCGUGCGGGAAGAAGGCCUUCGGGUUGUAAACCGCUUUUGUCAGGGAAGAAAUCUUCCGAGCUAAUACCUUGGGAGGAUGACGGUACCUGAAGAAUAAGCACCGGCUCACUACGUGCCAGCAGCCGCGGUAAUACGUAGGGUGCAAGUGUUAAUCGGAAUUACUGGGCGUAGAUGGUGAGCACACGGUUGAAAUCCGCGGGCUUAGCCUGGGAACUGCACUUGUGACUGUACGGCUGGAGUACGGCAGAGGGGGAUGGAAUGCCGCGUGUAGCAGUGAAAUGCGUAGAUAUGCGGAGGAACACCGAUGGCGAAGGCAGUCCCCUGGGCCUGUACUGACGCUCAUGCACGAAAGCGUGGGGAGCAAACAGGAUUAGAUACCCUAGUAGUC